CCGCCGCGGCGGCCGCCAGCCCCAAGCGCAUCUGGCCGUUGAGCGGGUGACCGCCGGGAGCCCCCGGAGAGUCGUGCAGCGCGGGAAAGAGCGCGGGGCCGCCACCGUCCCGGCCCGCCGAUUGGCAGAGUGAACACCACAUUUGAGCUGCACAGUGGGACCGAGUUUUUGGAAAUGGCACGGGUGGGAUUGGAGGGAGCCGUGUGAUUGGCAGCUGCCUCGGCUGCGCGAUUGGCUCCGGUUCAGGCUCUGGGCUCAGCGGGAAACCGCCCCCGUGCUCCAGACCGCCUGCGUUUUCACUUCGCGCCCCCUCCUCCCCAGGAGCUCUGCAUGCCGGUUCACCCCCGGAUGCCCAAGUUCCACUUGCAGAAAGUUUUGUGCGUGGCCUGCGCACUCAGUCCCCUGCGAACGUUCGUUCGGUCGACGCGCCUGGUGUGGAGAGUCUGCUAGCUCUCAGCCAGAGUGCACCCAAUUGGGAGGGGUCAAGGGACCUCCCGACCACGGUCAAAGCGACGGGGUGGGGGUGGGGAAGAAACCAAGGAGGGUAGUACCCGAACACUUUCUACCUCCUCUCUUGGAUCCCUGACUGCUCCCUGGACCAAGUGACCAUCCUGCCAUGGUAUCUGUAGCGAUGCCAGAAGCUUCUUAUAUGGACCUCGACUUCCCCUGGGCCCACGUGGGCUGUAGACUGGAGGCAGAAUGAGGACGGUUAUUAAACGUUAUUGGUUGCAAAACUGAUGGAGCUUGGCAAAAUACCAAAGUCAAAAUAAUAUCUAAUAAAUCCCCAAAGGAACAGUCUUGCUUAGACCAUGGGUUGCCAUUCAACAUAGUUCAAAGGAAUGGGCUCAAGACGAAAUCUCACUGCUCAUGGGUUCAAGAUCUGCUACUUCCAAUUAGAUCUCCUGAGGGGCGGGGAGGUGGGAAUGUGGAGGGAGAGCCAACCUAACUUUUGCCUCUCAGAGAUACAGUGGCAGAGAAGGCCAAAUAGCGUCUCUCCUAAGUGAAGCCAUUAAACAAGAGACGUCCUUUAAGUGAAUAUCUCCUUCCUGCCCAGAAGGCACUCCUCAUAUGUGCCUCAGUUUCUCCGGAAGGACCACAAGUUGGAACACACAAAAUAAAUGUUUUAAAAUCA